rnacentral:rRNA from 1 species
UACGUAGGGAGCAAGCGUUGUCCGGAAUCAUUGGGCGUAAAGCGCGCGUAGGUGGCCCUGUAAGUCCGCUCUGAAAGUCGAAGGCUCAACCUUCGAAAGCGGGUGGAUACUGCAGGGCUAAAGUCCGGAAGAGGCGAGUGGAAUUCCUGGUGUAGCGGUGGAAUGCGCAGAUAUCAGGAGGAACACCGGUGGCGAAGGCGGGUCUCUGGGCCGAUAUUGACGCUGAGGAGCGAAAGCGUGGGGAGCGAACAGG